UUUAAACAGAAGGAAUUAAAAAAAAAAAAAAAAAGAAAGAAAAAGAAAGUAAAAGAAACCCUUGAAAGCUUGUCAUUUAAAAGGCUCCUGGGAAACGAAAUCGUUUCUAUGAAACAAAACUGCGAUUGUUGAGAAGAGAUCAUCUCGAUCAUUGCAUUCCUGCUCACCCUGCUCUCCAGCCCCUGCUCCACUGCCCCACCGUGACCAUCAUCAGUUCUGGUGGGGAAAACAAAACAAAACAGUGCCACACACUACACAAACUGGAGAACAACUUGUGAGCCUACAAUCAAGUUCUGAAUUGAAUAGAUUCAAUUGUUGAAAUGCCUGAUCAUAGUCAGGACUGAGCAUAACCCAGGAGGGAUAAAAUCAAUGCUGGGAAGGCUUCCUGGAAGAAGUGAUCUUGAGCCUAGACAUUUGCAUCUGGAGCCAGAAAUCCAUCCCUAGCUUUGAUCUGAAUAUUGCUCGCUGACAGCCCGCUCUUGCUGCUGUCCUUCUGGCCACGCCUUUGAGCCUCCAAGUAGCAGCACCAGAAAGGUGCCUGCCUUCCUUAGCCUGAACUGCUAGAGCGAGAUAUCUGGAGCUAAAACAGCCCCUGUAUUCUCUGAAGGACCCGUCUUCAUUGUCUGCUCCCUUGUGUUUCCUGGCCCUGUCGUCAGGGUUAUGAUUGCUGACUUUCCCCCAACUCUCCCCCAGGAAAGCUAUUUUCCUCUCCCUUGAAAGCCAUUUUCUUGUCUUGGCAGAAGCAGACAUCUGACACUUUAAGAGGGAGCAUGGUGGGGAGAUGAUGGCUUUAAAUAACAGAAAUUAGAGCUGCUGAGUUCCACUCAGCCAUCUCGCCAAUCCCCUUUCCCCUCCCUCGCACACAUUCAGAACUGCAGCUUGAAGAGCAUUGUCCACGUGGCUUGUGGCUCAGGCGGCCAGGGAAUUCUGGGACCUAGAGAGCAGGGGACAGCUUCUCCUGAGUUCACAGCUUUUGCAUACCUAGUCCUGUGACAAACUGUAGGACACCAGGUCCUGAAGUCAGGGAGCUUGCAGUCUAAGGGAACAGAAUGUCACCUAAGAAUGGAAGUGACAUGCAUCUCAUUUUACAAGCUCAGCACCCAGCACACAGAGCUGGGUGUGCAGGAAGUGGUCAAAAGUAUGCGUUGAUUGACUGAUGAAUGAAUUAAUGGACAGAGGCCACAGUGGGCCAUGUCAACAGGCUGAGUGACUGGGCAAGAGAAGCUGGUCCCUGGGUCUCUGGGUCCCUGGGUCCCUGGUCAUCCUUGUAGUUAUCCUGGUACAUGCUGCCCUAUUGCUUGGCCUAAAGCACAGCUCAGAUCUGGUCUUUCUCCCGCACAAACCCUGCACAAACCCCUCUGGUGUUCCCCACUGCCUCCUAAAAUGAACAUCACCUCUCUCUUCCUGA